rnacentral:lncRNA from 1 species
AAUGCGACUCAUCGUGACUUUUACAGACCAGCGACACUUGGUGUACAUCGCAAAGCUCGGCAUCUUCAGGACCAAUGCUGUGGACCGAUGCAGAUGCCAGCACUCUGUCCCAAGACACACGGAAGUGUCACCAAGAAAAGACACAUGGACGUGUCACAGAUCAAACACACCAGGAAGUGUCACCACUAAAACCGAAACUCAUGGAAGUGUCACCAACAAGACACACCAACGUGUCACCUGCCGGGAGACAACAGGCCCAACGUACACCCCCCUACCCCCCACGACACCCAACAUGGCGCCUGAAGUCCUCGUGGGUUGGCGGAGCGGCUGCUGUUGGUGCUGCUGUUGCCGUAGCCACCCCUGCAAACGCGACGGCACCGUGGCUGCCAUGGGAGGGGGAAAAGCGGAGGAAACAAACCCGAGACCAGGUAAUAAUGACCACCCGUACUCCCGUACAGACAGGCAGUACGCCAAGCGCGCAAUGCUACUGGCGGGCUCACCGCAGGCCGACCUCAGCUGCCGCAACAGUCGUGCUGCCUCUACACCCACUGAUCAUAUCCCCACCCAUCCGCCCACUCAACCAUCUCUCUCUCACUCUCUCUCUCUCGCUCGCUCGCUCUCUCAGCUCGUCCUUCAUAAGGCUAAAGUUAUUAAAACCCCGAAAAAGCUAAGGCUCUGUUAAAGAAGAGGGUUAUGGACUAGCAAUGCCUUCUCCAGUCGAGAGGUUUUGCCUCUGGGUUUUGAACGCCACCUGCCUUACCAAGAUUCCCGGUUGAAAGAACAAGAUUUUUCGAGAAAGCUAUGCGGACAGUGUGUGCGCGCCACUGGUGCCUGUUGUUUGCCGCAUCUGUGCUGAUGUCCAGCGUGUCCGGCCUCAAGUUGUCGCCCCUGACCAGCGCCGCCCACCGCCGCGCGUCACGCCGUCCUCUGUCAGUAGAACAGCCACAGGAAGUGGCCAAGCGACCCAACCGAGCCUUCGGCUCCUUCUACCGCCUGAUGCAGCGGCACUCGCGCUACCUGGACGAGCAGGCCUUUGCCGAGAAGAUGUUCCGUCUCUUCGACAUGAACGCUGACAACUUAAUCCAGAGAGAUGAGUUCCUCGCCAUACUUCAGCUGCUCGGGCUCAUCAGCCACUCCUAGUGCUGCCCUCUAGUCCCCCAGGUAGCCCUGAAGCCGUGAGGACAACGCCAGCAAGUCUCCAGUGCCAGCCACAGCCUGCAGACCAUCGACUCGCUUCCUUCUGUCGGCCAGUCCGCCCAGCGUCCUCGUCUGCUUUUGGAAGUCACUGCACAGCACCCGGCCGGCAGACAACCCCAGGUCACACACACAACCACGGGCCUCUUCAUCGGCUUCGCUCCCCUUCUACGAAACCUCAUAUCGCUUGUCUGCCCCUUGGUCCCAAGGAUGAGCCUGCUGUCUGGACGGAAAGUUGUCACAGACGAUUUCAUUCCGUGGCCACCGACCUGCGCAGUCGGGUGGAUCUCACAGUCACGACGGUCACGAGUUGUGAAAAGCACGUGACAUGACAACUGUUAUCUGGUGGCAGUAAGGCUUCGGGAUACACCUUAUCUACUGGAACGCGAUCACUGGCUUCUAGCUUCUACCUCCACAGCAGUCACAUGACCAUACCUAUCGUAUUCAGAUGUUUACACCCUGAACACUCGAACCGUGAUGUGCGUAUUGUUGCUUCUUCUUGCUGAGUUUAUUAUUUGACAGGGUUAACCUCCAUUAAGAGUCACGUGUUAUCGAAUAUGCUCAAAUUUGUUUUCAACCUGAUGUCGGUGACUGUUUGACUAGUUCUUAAUCUUGUUAUGCACUAUUCUGUCUCCGUGAGAGACCUUACUUGUAACCGAGGGUUACCACCACGUUAAAGCUCCUUGCUCUGGUGAGGUCUUCUGGUCGCGCCUUGCAAGUCAUCUGCCAGCAUAACGGCCUGCGAAACAGUAGCCAGGGUUCGGCCACCAAGACAAAGGCCACUCUUUGAUCGUACUAUGGCUUCUUCGAUGUAGCAUCCAUCUGACUAACGCAUUACUCUGUCUAAAAUUACCGACAUUUGACAAAUUAUUAACCACUAACAGCUUCACAAACCUUAGCCAGCCUUCGUAUCCCGACACUCUCUUAGACUAUUAACCUUCACCAGCAUGACAACCUUUGUCUUAUUUCACCCACAAAAUGUCUCACCAUUGUCAUCUAUCACUCCUGUCUGCAUGUGUGUCCUUCAGCACAAUCUGCAAGACCAUUAACCUUUUAAGAACCCCACAGACUGUGUCUUCUGCCAUUUCUAAUUGCCGGCCCAUGAACUCCUAACAACCUGUUUCUUCUGUCGCUGCACUCUUCCACCCCAUUAGCUUCUAAGUGGGUUGUAGCCUCGGUGUUGUAUGUCCAGAACCCGGCACAUCAUCAAUGUCUACAUCCACUGUCUUCUGUGAACACAAUUGCCCGCAUCAUCUCUAAGAUGGCCACAUCCUUUUGUCUUGUACUUCUACAAUCUGCAAGACCAUUGAUCUCAAAUAACUUCACAAUCUUUAUAUAGUCGUUUUUCUUCGUUUUCUUUCUUUCUUCGUCCUAUCAAUGCUCCUUGUGAGGCUCAUACUUUUAUGUGUUAAACCUGUUGCCAAUCUUCUUCAAGCUGUCCUCAUCCAGUCAACUCGAUGUAAUAGUUGUUUCCCUGUUUUGUGUCCAGCUCGCCAUGACUGUAGUCUCCGUGCUCUGAGAGCGCCACAAACAACCAUAGCCAACAGUAAACAAAGAUUCAUAACAAUUAAACAAUAGGAAUCAUACUAUGCUCAACCACUUUCUUUACAAAGGAAUCUCAUACCCCUGGCGAAUUUCUAUAGUUAUUUAGAAUCUGUGAAGUCAGCAAUACAGUCCACAAUGUCCACCAGCAACUCGUUGUCCCCUUUGUAGACAGCAAAGAAAAUCUUUGCAACUUUUCUUUCUGGAAGAUUAGUCGUCAAGAACGGAAUGAAAACUUUUCUUGGACCCACAUAUAGCUACAUGUUUAGAAAGAUGCGAGAAAGUUCGAUUACAAACAGAUCUUACAAACAACAAGGAGCUCAAUGCCUAAAGAAGGGUUUGUUAGACUUUGAACUGAGGGACAAGAUGUCUGCUGGUAGUGAGAAAGUCCGGUGGCAUAACUUAGAUAUUUCUACUUGGUGUCUACAGUCCACUGGUCAGUCUUGCUGGCUCACCAACUCUUAUCCUAGCAGGGUAAACCAAUACUUUUCUUUAUAGACUCUUUCUGAGUCAAGUGAACUUGUUCACUUGAAUAAUGUUUGUGGUCCAAUUAGCGGUUUUUCUUAAAUGUUCAAAGGUGUUGUGUUCCUUCUGCUUUAACAUUAAAACCUUCUGCUUUAAAACCCGUUUAAUAUUAACUGUUACCUGUCAUCCCCUCGGUCCAUCUAACAAUAGAAUCCCGCACCUUGCCACUCUGGUGAUAUAUCUUGUUUCCUGUCGAGAUUUUCAAUAUUUUCAGUGAUGAAUGUUUAGGUGUUGGAAUUUACUGCUACUCACUGAGCAUGACUACCCUUCACACCCCUUGUUCCUUUAAGUUAAGAAGAUUAAAAAAAUACAUGCCGACAUGUUAUCAUCUGACACCUACCUUCAAAGGUCGACAACUCAUAAACUGUUUAUUUGUACACCUGUAGACAGUGCACAAAGAUCAUGUGGCCUCUGUGGUCUAAGGUGUGAUGAUUCUGAUAUCUAGCGACUCAACUCUGUCUGGUAUCUGAAAGAAGAUCUUCUGUCUGCUGUCUGGUUUCUGAGCACGUGAUGUUUUGUUUCUCUUUUUUUCAGACUUGUCGCUCUUUGCCUCGGUGUUGCAAAGCAAGCUUUGAGGAAUUUCUUUGUGUUUUGUCUUUCUUCCAGUCUUUUAUUUCUCAGUUAUUACAUUUUCAUGUCAUGCGCAUCUGGCCUGUGUGCCUUCCUGCUUUGAAUAUGAGGCUACUGCUGCUGCUGCUGCUGCUCAGCGAGUCAAAGCGAACGUUUGUGGAAUGUCCACGUGGACUUGUUAUUGCCGUGCUCCCCCACAGCUCCAGUCGGACAAGAGCCCGGAGUCCCUUACACUUCCCUUCACAAACACCUUGUGUUACUCCCCCGUCGCCUGUUACGUCGCAUUGUGUUACACUCACGGCUGUCAGCUUACGUCACGUGACGUGACAUUACGCUCGUGCGGGUGGUAAUGGCGGACAUUACAGUAGGAGCUAUCCUCGCGGCUGAUGUAAGCUUCUCCUGGUUUUCCUCCAAAGUAACGACUCAUCGCUGCUGUUCUCUACUCCAGUUAUCUACCACUUCCCUUGUCCCGCUCCUGUUGUCAGCCCGAGGCAAACAAAAAAGGCAACAAAGGGGGGCAAAACUCUGCCGAAAUCGCUGUGAGUCGCAUGCAGGAUCAUUCAAUGGUUACCAUGGUAACUGCUGCUCCCAACCCUUCAGUUGCUACGUGAACUGUAGUGUUGGCAAAGUGUACAUACCUACCUGUACUGAACACAACAAAGCUACACCUCUCUGACACAGACACCAGCAGACUGACGGUGUCGAUGUUGUGCUGCAGUAGAGGCGCUCGUGUACUGUAGCCUUUAGCCCCCAACGACAACAUUCCUUGCCGUUACAACAUUCCAUUAUGUCACCGUUAAGAUGGUUGUAGCUGUCAAAAAAAAAAAAAACAACAACACACGCUAUCCCAUGUUUUUUGUCCGAACGGAUAGUGUUGUCUUGAAGACACUGUGUCUUGUUCCCAGGCGAGUAGCGCUGUCUGUGAGAGACUACUUGAGACUAGUUACUUGACUACUUGAGACUAGUUACUUGACUACUUGAGACUAGUUACUUGACUACUUGAAGCUAGUUACUUGACUACUUGAGGCUAGUUACUUGACUACUUGAAGCUAGUUACUUGACUACUUGAGGCUAGUUACUUGACUACUUGAGACUAGUUACUUGACUACUUGAGACUAGUUACUUGACUACUUGAGACUAGUUACUUGACUACUUGAGACUAGUUACUUGACUACUUGAGACUAGUUACUUGACUACUUGAGGCUAGUCCACUGGUAGUGCCGUCUAUAAAGUGCUGCUUUCUCUUUCCAAGGCGAGUAGUGUUUCCUGCUCUUUCCUUCCAACAUGAAUAGCAUCCUGCUAUCUCGUUCUAGGGUGUCUAGUGCAACCUACAGGGGAUAGUCUCUCCUUCCAAGGCUAGCAGUACCGCCUCUAAUAUAGUGCUAUCUGGUACAAAGGCGACUAGUGCUAUGUACAAGGUAGUGCUACCUCAAGGCAACUAGUGCUAUCUAGAGGGUAGUGCUAUCUCAAGGCGACUAGUAGUAGAAGGUAGUGCUGUGUACAAGGUAGUGCUAUCUCCAGGCGACUAGUGCUAUCUUAAGGCGACUAGCGCUAUCUCAAGGCAACUAGUGCUAAGUACAAGGUAGUGCUAUCUCCAGGCGACUAGUGCUAUCUCCAGGCGAAUAGUGCUGCCUGAAGGGCGAUGCUCUCUCCUAGGAAGGCGAGUGUUGUCGCUGCAGGAGAUGGUGUCUACAAGACGCAGCUAUCAUCGUCCGAGGCGACGACUGUUUUCCAGAUGACGUCACAAGUGGAUGUGCAUGUAACGUUCAAUGACCGAGUAUGUUAUUGAUGAAUUAUUAUCUCUGCUUCGUAGAGAACAAAGUUUGCGAAGUUGUGUUAACCUUACAGAUGCAGAAGUACUGAAAACGACUGUGAAUACUGUACAAAUUCAAAUAAACUUAUUUUAUUCGGACAGCCUUGCUGAUAAAUAAAUGUAA